UGUCCCGUGUGGAGAACAAGAAGCAGACCCAGGGGGGGAAAAAAAUAAAAUUAAAAAAUAAAGCAAGGAGGAGCGGGUUCAACGAGGCUGCGCUUCAAGACACGGGUUUGUCCGGUUUGCCUAAACAGUUGGAGGCUGCAGUGAAAAAUCUCCUCCCGUGGAGGGGGAACUAGGAACACCCCUGUCCGAAAAUCCUCAUUUCCGAGACGUGAGACCGCUGGAUGUUCCGAGUGGGGAAAUAAGUUUCCUCGGCUUCGACGGACUGGAGAAGCUCCAGUCGCUUCUUGAGCUGCUGGAAACUCCCCGUCCAAUCCACCCAGGGGGGAAGCUGUACCAACACAGCGGUUUCUCUCCUGUGUGAAUUUGCCGGAGUCUUUUCAAUGCCGUCGAAGCUCUCCCCCUCGUUCAGCACAGCGUACAGCGUUUUACAUCAUCACCCUGUGGAACAAGCACAUUUAAAACUGUAAAGCGUUAUUUGUAAUUGAAUACGUUAACGUUUUUCAGAGGGUUUCGUUUGAGUUUAUGAAGCUAAAUGUCGACCCAGGGGACUUUUUCGACCUGAAAAACAAGGACCAGGGGUCUCAAAUGGAGAUUAGAUAAAGGGGCAUUCAGAACAGAAAAUAGGAGGCACUUUUUUACACAGAGAAUUGUGAGGGUCUGGAACCAACUCCCCAGUAAUGUUGUUGAAGCUGACACCCUGGGAUCCUUCAAGAAGCUGCUUGAUGAGAUUCUGGGAUCAAUAAGCUACUAACAACCAAACGAGCAAGAUGGGUCGAAUGGGGCCUCCUCUCGUUUGUAAACUUUCUUAUGUAUAUUUGUCAACUCUACAAUACAAUCCUCCGUGUUUACUCUGGAGUUUGCCGGGAGAGAGAUUGUUUUUCUAAGGAUCGCAGUGUAUCCAGAUCGCUCUCCCUAAUGAGAACAGGAAAUAAUUGAAACAGGUUGUAAUGUGUUGAUAAAUCCUGCUGCGAUAUUAUUAUUAAUAUCUUAGACACCCUUAUCCAGGGUGACUUACAAUUGUUACAAGAUAUCACAUUAUUUUUACAUACAAUUCCCCAUUUAUACAGUUGGGUUUUUACUGGAGCAAUCUAGGUAAAGUACCUUGCUCAAGGGUACAGCAGCAGUGUCCCCCACCUGGGAUUGAACCCACGACCCUCCGGUCAGGAGUCCAGAGCCCUAACCGCUACUCCACACUGCUGCCCGAUGCGAUAGGGAGAUCUCUAAAACUGUCUUGAUCUGAAAUCCUUACUGUUUGAUCGUUUCAUUGGCGCUGCAUGCGUACGCUGUGUGGAUAUUGAAUUAAAGUGAUCAGUGAACUGUG